UACAGAGGUCUCAAGCGUUGUUCGGAUUCAUUGGGCGUAAAGGGUGCGUAGGCGGCGCGGUAAGUCGGGUGUGAAAUCUCGGGGCUUAACUCCGAAACUGCAUUCGAUACUGCCGUGCUUGAGGACUGGAGAGGAGACUGGAAUUACGGUGUAGCGGUGAAAUGCGUAGAUAUCGUAAGGAAGACCAGUGGCGAAGGCGGGUCUCUGGACAGUUCCUGACGCUGAGGCACGAAGGUCAGGGGAGCAAACGGG
rnacentral:rRNA from 1 species